rnacentral:rRNA from 1 species
UACGUAGGGUGCAAGCGUUGCCCGGAUUUAUUGGGCGUAAAGGGCGCGUAGGCGGCUCUGCACGUUCGUUGUGAAAUCGCCCGGCUCAACUGGGCGGGGUCAGCGGAUACGGCAGAGCUUGAGCAAGCUAGGGGGCAAUGGAAUUCCCGGUGUAGUGGUGGAGUGCGUAGAUAUCAGGAGGAACACCUGCGGUGUAGACGGCUUACUGGACGGUAACUGACGCUGAGGCACGAAAGCGUGGGUAGCAAACAGG